rnacentral:rRNA from 1 species
GACGAACGCUGACAGAAUGCUUAACACAUGCAAGUCAACUGUGGCGGACGGGUGAGUAACGCGUAAAGAACUUGCCUCACAGCUAGGGACAACAUUUGGUAACGAAUGCUAAUACCUGAUACUGUGAGAGAGCUUUGCGUCCCAUUAGCUAGUUGGAGAGGUAACGGCUCACCAAGGCGAUGAUGGGUAGCCGGCCUGAGAGCGUGAUCGGCCACAAGGGGACUGAGACACGGCGCUUAAGACUACGGGAGGCAGCAAUAGGGAUUAUUGGACAAUGGACCAGAGUCUGGUGCAGCAUUACUUUGUGCGCGAUGAAGUUUUCGGAGUGUGAAGUGAUUUCAGUUGGGAAGCGGUACCAACAGAAGAAGUGACGGCUAAAUACGUGCCAGCAGCCGCGGUAAUUC